rnacentral:rRNA from 1 species
AAGCUCGUAGUUGAAUUUCGAGACCGGCUUACUGGUCGUGCUAUUGUACGUACUGGUAUAAUCGGUUUCUCCUUUCUGACGAACUAUAAUGCCAUUAAUUUGGUGUUUUAGGGAAUCAGGACUGUUACUUUGAAAAAAUUAGAGUGUUUAAAGCAGGCUCACGCUUGAAUACAUUAGCAUGGAAUAACGGAAUAGGACGUUUGAUUCUAUUUUGUUAGUUUCUAGGAUCGACGUAAUGAUUAAUAGGGAUAGUUGGG